UUUUGUUUGUCUCACGUUUUGCGUGGGAGGCGGUCCCGGGAUUUCAGGGGUCUACGGGCUCUCAUGGCGAAUGCAACCCGAAGAGAGAGUGAGCUGUAUCUUCAGAGUUGUCUCCGUCUUUCCAAGAACAGAACAAAAUGAACAAGGUAAGUUGUUUAUUAAUUCCCUACUUUAUUUUGCGGUGGACUUUGUGAGAUUUGUAAGAGUCAGUAUGGUUUUUUUGUUUUGUUUUGUUUGUGA
rnacentral:sRNA from 1 species